rnacentral:rRNA from 1 species
UACGAAGGGGGCUAGCGUUGUUCGGAAUUACUGGGCGUAAAGCGCACGUAGGCGGAUACUUAAGUCAGGGGUGAAAUCCCGGGGCUCAACCCCGGAACUGCCUUUGAUACUGGGUAUCUCGAGUCCGGAAGAGGUGAGUGGAAUUCCGAGUGUAGAGGUGAAAUUCGUAGACAUUCGGAGGAACACCAGUGGCGAAGGCGGCUCACUGGUCCGGUACUGACGCUGAGGUGCGAAAGCGUGGGGAGCAAACAGG